UUUAUCCAAUCAUUUCUUCUAUAAAGUAACUCCUGCGACCCCAAGUGACCCUUUUACAUUUCCCUUCCACUGUGAACUCCAAUUCUCUAUCAAUUCUCCUUCAAUUUUCUUCCUUCCUCCUCCCUCUUCCCUGCGAGUGCAGCAAGACAGCAAGAACAGCAACAGCAGCUGCAACAGUUUAGAAUCUUGGGCUGUUUUGAGGCUUCCAAUUGCUGCUGAGGUGUUGAUUCGUGAUUGUAGUAGAAAACGAAGAGAUUGUGGAGCAAUCCUAGCAUCUCGUUUCCAGGUGACAUAAGCGGUGAGGGUCAGAAUGAUGCGUGAGGUGCAGUGUAGCUAGUGAGCUCUGGUGGUCACGUGCAUAUCCAUUGAUUGAUUCUAAUUAUCUCUUUCUGUACCCAUUUAUGGUAAUUCGUUAAAUAAGUUCUAUAUUGAAAUUGUUCAGUUAAGUUUAUUUUUCUUUGGAUUAA